GGAAGUUGUGUCCUGGCUUUGUGCCCGGCUGCAGUGUUGUGUCCCUUGCCUUCGAUUGGAUGAAACCUACCCAGCACUCAGAACAGACCACAAAGACGCCAUGUUUGAUCUUUCACCGGCCAAUAGAAAGCUUCGACUGUUCAUCCUUCAUCUUCUUCAGCUCAGCUCUGCACGGUAUAACAUCACAAAUGUAGGAACUGGUUUCAUCAUCAUUGAGGUGUGAUGUGGAGAAGCAGAGUGGCUGGUAAUGAUUCCACCUCCAGCAGCAACAUGUUGAAGAUGAUUUUGAGCUUCGAGCUCAUCGCUGAAACACAAAACAGGAGACUUUCACUGACAGGAUGUGAGCGUGCUUCAGGACUCCAACCUGCAGGAGGAGCCUCACUCAACAGGUACACCAACAGAGCUCUUUACUAUGCUGUCAGAAGUCCAAACAUCCCAGCAUUUAGCAUCAUCGCCUGAUGAGCCAGAGUCCAAAACCGCUUAUUUAUAUCUGGGAAAUUAGCAAAGCUGUCAAACAAGAUUCAGAAGAAGAGCAACACAAACUUCUCUGCUGCACGUUCGACUGAGGGAGUGUCGAUAGGUUUGUUAGAGAGGAAUGAAACCUGUAAAUGAUCCACAAUACAACAACAGCUGCUGGGUGAAUGUCCCCUCACCUGGACUCUGUCUCACCUGGGUUCACCUCCUCCUCCAUGAACAUUGUCUGGAUGAACUCUCCUGCUGCUUCCAGAUUCUUUAGGCUCACCAGAGUCCAGUUUGAUGACCUGUGAGCUUGGAUCAAUACGAGGGUUUUUUCUGAUGGACACCAAGUACCAGAGUUCUGUUUCUCCUCUGAGUCUCAGUUUCACUGUCUCUCCAUCUGUCUCCACUGAGUC